rnacentral:rRNA from 1 species
UACGGGGGGGGGCAAGCGUUGUUCGGAAUUACUGGGCGUAAAGGGCUCGUAGGUGGCCAACUAAGUCGGACGUGAAAUCCCUCGGCUUAACCGGGGAACUGCGUCCGAUACUGGUUGGCUUGAGUUUGGGAGAGGGAUGCGGAAUUCCAGGUGUAGCGGUGAAAUGCGUAGAUAUCUGGAGGAACACCGGUGGCGAAGGCGGCCAUCCUGGACAGUAUGACGCUGAGAGCGAAAGCCAGGGGAGCAAACGGGAU